GACGUAGGGCGCGAGCGUUAAUCGGAAUUACUGGGCGUAAAGCGUGCGCAGGCGGCGCGUUAAGACAGGUGUGAAAGCCCCGAGCUUAACUUGGGAAUUGCGCUUGUGACUGGCGUGCUGGAGUGUGGCAGAGGGAGGUGGAAUUCCACGUGUAGCAGUGAAAUGCGUAGAGAUGUGGAGGAACACCGAUGGCGAAGGCAGCCUCCUGGGCCAGCACUGACGCUCAUGCACGAAAGCGUGGGGAGCAAACAGG
rnacentral:rRNA from 1 species